ACCGAGGUGCGAGGGCUGUCGCUGACCUCUUUUGGUCGUGCACGCCCAAGUGCUCUCACACAAUCCAUCUCACCCCUUGUGCACCACCGCGUGGGUCCCAUUCUGGCUUGUCCGGAGGGGGGCUCGCGUUUUCACACAAACUUGAAGUAGUGUAGAAUGUCCUUUUUUUUUGCGAUGACACGCAAUCAAUACAACUUUCAACAACGGAUCUCUUGGCUCUCGCAUCGAUGAAGAACGCAGCGAAAUGCGAUACGUAAUGUGAAUUGCAGAAUUCAGUGAAUCAUCGAAUCUUUGAACGCACCUUGCGCCCCUUGGCAUUCCGAGGGGCACACCCGUUUGAGUGUCGUGAAAUUCUCAAAACCCUUUCUUUUGGUCAUUUUUGGCCGCGGGAAGGAUUUUGGACUUGGAGGUCUUUUGCUGGCUUCGCCUUGAAGCAAGCUCCUCCCAAAUGUAUUAGUGGGGUCUGCAUUGUCGGUCCUUGGCGUGAUAAGUUGCUUCUACGUCUUGGACUUUUGGCGCUGUACACCUGCUUCUAAGCGUCUCGUUGACAACGAUGGUGCUCCGGUCGCCGCCGAUUUUUCGGUGGGAGGCUUGACCCACGAAACAAACCUUGACCUCAAAUCGGGUGAGACUACCCGCUGAACUUAAGCAUAUCAAUAAGCGGAGGAAAAGAAACUAACAAGGAUUCCCCUAGUAACUGCGAGUGAAGCGGGAAAAGCUCAAAUUUAAAAUCUGGUGGCCUUUGGUCAUCCGAGUUGUAAUUUAGAGAAGCGUCUUCCGCGCUGGGACCGUGUA
rnacentral:rRNA from 1 species